rnacentral:rRNA from 1 species
CCUACGGGAGGCAGCAGUGAGGAAUAUUGGUCAAUGGACGAGAGUCUGAACCAGCCAAGUAGCGUGAAGGAUGACGGCCCUAUGGGUUGUAAACUUCUUUUAUAGGGGAAUAAAAUGUGCCACGUGUGGGAUUUUGUAUGUACCAUAUGAAUAAGGAUCGGCUAACUCCGUGCCAGCAGCCGCGGUAAUACGGAGGGUCCGAGCGUUAUCCGGAUUUAUUGGGUUUAAAGGGAGCGUAGGUGGAUUGUUAAGUCAGUUGUGAAAGUUUGCGGCUCAACCGUAAAAUUGCCGUUGAAACUGGCAGUCUUGAGUACAGUAGAGGUGGGCGGAAUUCGUGGUGUAGCGGUGAAAUGCUUAGAUAUCACGAAGAACUCCGAUUGCGAAGGCAGUUCACUGGACUGCAACUGACACUGAGGCUCGAAAGUGUGGGUAUCAAACAGGAUUAGAUACCCGAGUAGUC